rnacentral:lncRNA from 1 species
AUGUUAAGUAUUUCUGUUUUCUCCACAGAUCUUCACACCUGUCAGAUGACAAAAGGUCAGAUCAAAUCAAAUCAAAGUGCCCGAAGGAAAUUAGUCUGGAACUGUCUGCUGCCCCUCCAGGUCCCCUUUACUCAUGGGCUUCUGAAGUACCUUAUGAGAGCAUCAGCACUAGGUGGCGCUAUGUUACCAUGAAGACUGCCGGGGGGGGACCACAGUUUUCAAGUUGGCUGGUAGAAACAGGAGUCAGGUGGUGGAUAGGAGACAUAUGGACAACUGUAUACUGGUAAUGACCACUGUUUGUGGAGCUCCUUCUAUUUCAGUGUUAUGCUGCAUCAUGUGUUCAAUGCAUAUUUAUAAGAGAGGUCUGAUAUCAC